rnacentral:rRNA from 1 species
AUUGAACGCUGGCGGCAGGCCUAACACAUGCAAGUCGAACGAGUGGCGGACGGGUGAGUAAUGUCUGGGAAACUGCCUGAUGGAGGGGGAUAACUACUGGAAACGGUAGCUAAUACCGCCUACCAUCGGUUGUGGCCAUAGGGGAUGAGCUAGUAGGUGGGGUAACGGCUCACCUAGGCGACGAUCACUAGCUGGUCUGAGAGGAGGACCAGCCACACGGGAACUGCGACACGGUCAAGACUCAUACGGGAGGCAGCAGUGGGGAAUAUUGCACAAUGGGAGCAAGCCUGAUGAAGAAAUGCGGCGUGGAUGAAGAAGGCCUUCGGGUUGUAAAGUACUUUCAGCGGGGAGGCGUUACCCGCAGAAGAAGCACCGGCUAACUCCGUGCCAGCAGCCGCGGUAAUAC